GGUUACUGCUAUUGGUGUUCGACUAAGCCAUGCAAGUCAUAUGUUCCUCGUGAACAUGGCAUACUGCUCAGUAACACGUGGAUAACCUGCCCUUGGGUCUGGGAUAACCCCGGGAAACUGGGGAUAAUACCGGAUAACGCAUAUGUGCUGGAAUGCUUUAUGCGUAAAACGGAUUCGUCCGCCCAAGGAUGGGUCUGCGGCCUAUCAGGUAGUAGUGGGUGUAAUGUACCUACUAGCCAACAACGGGUACGGGUUGUGAGAGCAAGAGCCCGGAGAUGGAUUCUGAGACAUGAAUCCAGGCCCUACGGGGCGCAGCAGGCGCGAAAACUUUACAAUGCGGGAAACCGUGAUAAGGGAACACCGAGUGCCAGCAUCAUAUGCUGGCUGUCCAGAUGUGUAAACUACAUCUGUUAGCAAGGGCCGGGCAAGACCGGUGCCAGCCGCCGCGGUAACACCGGCGGCCCGAGUGGUGACCGUUAUUAUUGGGUCUAAAGGGUCCGUAGCCGGUUUGGUCAGUCCUCCGGGAAAUCUGAUAGCUUAACUGUUAGGCUUUCGGGGGAUACUGCCAGGCUUGGAACCGGGAGAGGUAAGAGGUACUACAGGGGUAGGAGUGAAAUCUUGUAAUCCCUGUGAGACCACCUGUGGCGAAGGCGUCUUACCAGAACGGGUUCGACGGUGAGGGACGAAAGCUGGGGGCACGAACCGGAUUAGAUACCCGGGUAGUCCCAGCCGUAAACUAUGCUCGCUAGGUGUCAGGCAUGGCGCGACCGUGUCUGGUGCCGCAGGGAAGCCGUGAAGCGAGCCACCUGGGAAGUACGGCCGCAAGGCUGAAACUUAAAGGAAUUGGCGGGGGAGCACAACAACGGGUGGAGCCUGCGGUUU
rnacentral:rRNA from 1 species